rnacentral:rRNA from 1 species
AGAGCACAGCGAUUGGGUCAGUAGCGGCGAGCGAAGCCCCAAGAGUCCGGUUUUGAAAGCUCCUUCGGGCGCGUUGUAGCCGGAGGCGUCCUUGGCCGACGGUCCAUCCCAAGUCCCAUGGAACUGGGCGCCGUAGAGGGUGAGAGCCCCGUACGGAUGGAUCCGACGCCGUGCAAGGUGCCCUCAAAGAGUCACGUUGUUUGGGAAUGCAGCGUAAAGACGAGGUAAAUUUCUCGUGAAGACUAAAUAUCUGCCAAUGACCGAUAGCGCACAAGUAGCGUGAGCGAAAGAUGAAAACUAUGCUGAAAAGCAAGUUAAAAGAAGGUGAAACUGUUGGAGGGGAAGGCGUGGCACCCAGACGUAGGACGGUCGAUCAGCUUCGGCGCACUCGGCCGCUCCUAGGCCAGCACAGUCGCCGCGGGCUUACAAAAGCGGACGCGACCCCUCCGGGGGUCGCCCCGUGGAAUGGGCCCAGCGGCGGUUGACGACCGCAAGGUACGCUGGCGUAAUGGGAAUCACGCGCCCGUCUUGAAACACGGACCAAGGAGUCGAGCAGUGGUGCGAGUCUACGGGCUUCAAGCCCCGAGGCGCAGUGAAAGCGACAGGGUGGAACUUCGGUGCACACCCGGCCGGGCCCGAUGCUUGCGGAAGGUUCUGAGCAAGAGCAUCACUGUUCGGACCCGAAAGAUGGCGAACUAUGGCUGAGCAGGGUGAAGGCAUCGGAAACGGUGCUGGAGGCCCGAAGAGGUUCUGACGUGCAAAUCGAUCUUCAAACCUGGCCAUGGGGGCGAAAGACUAAUCGAGCCAUCUAGUAGCUGGUUCCUGCCGAAGUUUCCCUCAGGAUAGCAGUGACGCGUUCAGUUCCAUGAGGUAAAGCGAAUGAUUAGAGGCCUUGGGGAAGCAACUUCCUUAACCUAUUCUCAAACUUUGAAUGCGUGGGAGGCCGCCGUUUCUUAACUGAACGGUGGCACUCGAAUGAACGUCACUAGUGGGCCAUUUUUGGUAAGCAGAACUGGCGAUGCGGGAUGAACCGAACGCGGGGUUAAGGUGCCGGAGUGCACGCUCAUGAGACACCACAAAGCGUGUUAGUGCAUCUAGACAGCAGGACGGUGGCCAUGGAAGUCGGAAACCGCUAAGGAGUGUGUAACAACUCACCUGCCGAAUGCACUAGCCGCGAAAAUGGAUGGCGCUAAGCGUGUCACCAACCCCCCGCCGUCAGGGCUGAAAUUACGCCCUGACGAGUAGGCAGGCGUGGAGGUCC